rnacentral:lncRNA from 1 species
GGCAAAGAGUUGUCCAUACAUCGGUGUUCAUUCAUGUUACCAAUAACUAUUAGGUGAGGUGCAUGGCAUCGAUGGGACUGCAGCAUCCACUAGAAAUCCAAUUAUCGUGUCAAAAUUUUUAUUUCUUCACCUGGAGAGUAUGGAAGAUUUGAUAAAAGAGUGAGAGUCUCUUUUUGUAUCUAAAAAUUUUUAGAGUAAAUUAUAAAAUAAGUACAAACAUCCAAGUAGAAUCUUUGCUCUUUGCUAUUCAUUAUGUCAGCUUUCAACCCUCUAGCUUG